GAUGAACGCUGGCGGCGUGCCUAAUACAUGCAAGUCGAGCGAACAGACGAGGAGCUUGCUCCUCUGACGUUAGCGGCGGACGGGUGAGUAACACGUGGAUAACCUACCUAUAAGACUGGGAUAACUUCGGGAAACCGGAGCUAAUACCGGAUAAUAUAUUGAACCGCAUGGUUCAAUAGUGAAAGACGGUUUUGCUGUCACUUAUAGAUGGAUCCGCGCCGCAUUAGCUAGUUGGUAAGGUAACGGCUUACCAAGGCAACGAUGCGUAGCCGACCUGAGAGGGUGAUCAGCCACACUGGAACUGAGACACGGACCAGACUCCUACGGGAGGCAGCAGUAGGGAAUCUUCCGCAAUGGGCGCAAGCCUGACGGAGCAACGCCGCGUGAGUGAUGAAGGUCUUCGGAUCGUAAAACUCUGUUAUUAGGGAAGAACAAAUGUGUAAGUAACUAUGCACGUCUUGACGGUACCUAAUCAGAAAGCCACGGCUAACUACGUG
rnacentral:rRNA from 1 species